rnacentral:rRNA from 1 species
CCUACGGGUGGCAGCAGUGAGGAAUAUUGGUCAAUGGGCGCGAGCCUGAACCAGCCAAGUAGCGUGAAGGAUGACUGCCCUACGGGUUGUAAACUUCUUUUAUAUAGGAAUAAAGUGAGGCACGUAUACCUUUUUGUAUGUACUUUAUGAAUAAGGAUCGGCUAACUCCGUGCCAGCAGCCGCGGUAAUACGGAGGUUGCAAGCGUUGUCCGGAUUUACUGGGUGUAAAGGGAGCGCAGGCGGGAAGCCAAGUCAGCUGUGAAAGCUACGGGCUUAACUUGUAGAUUGCAGUUGAUACUGGUAUUCUUGAGUGAAGUAGAGGUUGGCGGAAUUCGGAGUGUAGCGGUGAAAUGCGUAGAUAUCAGGAGGAACACCGGUGGCGAAGGCGGCCAACUGGGCUUUAACUGACGCUGAGGCUCGAAAGUGUGGGGAGCAAACAGGAUUAGAUACCCUAGUAGUC